UAUAAAGUAAGCUAAUUAUAAGCUAUUGGGCUCAUACCCCAAAUAUGAUAAUUUUCCUUUAUUA
rnacentral:tRNA from 1 species